CACCUCCUGUCACACUAUAGGAGCUGGCCAUGUUUGAAGUCAUUACCCUUAACCGUAAGGAGGGGGGUGCCUAAGGCUAGGCUUGCGACUGGAGUGAAGUCGUAACAAGGUAGCCGUACUGGAAGGUGCGACUG
rnacentral:ncRNA from 1 species